rnacentral:rRNA from 1 species
CCUACGGGCGGCAGCAGUGAGGAAUAUUGGUCAAUGGGCGUAAGCCUGAACCAGCCAAGUCGCGUGAGGGAUGAAGGUUCUAUGGAUCGUAAACCUCUUUUAUAAGGGAAUAAAGUCCGGGUCGUGUCCCGUUUUGUAUGUACCUUAUGAAUAAGAAUCGGCUAACUCCGUGCCAGCAGCCGCGGUAAUACGGAGGAUCCGAGCGUUAUCCGGAUUAAUUGGGUUUAAAGGGUGCGUAGGCGGCCUUUUAAGUCAGCGGUGAAAGUCUGGGGCUGAACCUUAGAAUUGCCGUUGAAACUGGGAGGCUUGAGUAUGUUAGAGGCAGGCGGAAUGCGUGGUGUAGCGGUGAAAUGCUUAGAGAUGACGAAGAACCCCGAUGGCGAAGGCAGCCUCUCGAGCAAUGACUGACGCUGAUGCACGAAAGCGUGGGGAUCAAACAGGAUUAGAUACCCGAGUAGUC